UUUUUUCCUGGGUAAAUUAUAGUUUUCUUACCACCUAUUAUCUGAUUUUGACUCGUUUAUUUUUUAGCAUAUUGGUAAAAUAAACAAGGACCUUUAAGGCCUCAUAUUAGACAAGGAUCUUAAAAUCUCCUUUACUGUAUCAGGACCUUUAGAGCCGUUAUAAGGACAAUAUUUGGUCUCCAAUAUAUAUGCAUUGCAUACUCUGUAGGAAUAUUUCUCUCAGAUUUCAACAUGAUGGAGAUAAAGGAGCACUCUUUUUUUUUGUGUGUGUCCAUAAUAGAAUAUUUUCUAGUGAUAUCUAUAAUAGUUCUUAUUUUGCUUCAGAUUCAUGAUUGAUUUCAAAGUUUUCUAUUUUGUAGCUUUUGAUUAGGAUCAUGGCAAUAGUGUACUGUUGUUCAGUUGAUAAUCCUGUUGCCUUUUGUUCCUUUUUAGCUCAAAUUUCAUAACAUUAGACUAUCUUACCAUUUUUAAAUUUCUUUUUUCUGUUCGUGGUAUUAGAUGAGGUAUUGUUUCCACCGCAAUGUCUUCCUCCCUCUUCCUACGUAUUCACGUAAAACUCAAUGUUAUAAAUGAGAAAAAGAAGAGCCAUUUCUUUUGUUACUGUCUGCCACUGCCAAUUUUGUCACAAGAAAAGA
rnacentral:misc_RNA from 1 species